UUCCCUGCCUCGAUUCUCAGUCUGUCACCAAGCUCUGAGAUUGCCGUGCGCUACUCUCAAGACAGGUCCUAGGCUUCCUCUGAACACUGGAGCCGUGUGGUGGGAUCAAAUCAGUCCAAUAAACUCAGGCAAAGAUGAGGCUUCUUUGUUCCUCAGGACAUCUCCACUGUCUCUUGGAUCACGUUUGGAACUGUAAGAGAUUUCUUACCUACCUUACAGAAUGUCACAAUGACUCCAUUGGAUCCUACCUGCCUUUGAACCAUAAGUGAGUGCCCCUGCUCUGAGGGUUACUGCACACACAAAUAACCACUGGAUGGCUGCACUUAAGCUACACUGUACCAAAUAAAGUUGCAAAUAAAGCACCGCUUCUGCAUCAGGCCACUUUUGACACAAAGGGUUGCUUGUGGAAUCUGAUUAACUGCAUGGAAGGCAGCAGGAGGAGGAAGGUUCUUCAGGCAGCCGUUCAGUUCAAACCCUCACUGUCAGUAGGCUGUGGGGCAGGGCAGGGCCUUUUAUUGACAGCUGCAGACUUCUGUGCUGUCUCUGAAAGAUCUCAGUGUCCUUGGCCGAGUCUUCAGUUCCUGCUGGUGCUGCUUUUUGUGAAACCCUCUUUAUUCCUUUGAGUACCUGGUACGGGUGGACGGAAUAACCUUCAGCCAUUCUGCUGCUCUCCUCUCUUGGGCUGAAAUAGAGCAAGACAAAGUAUUUCUGUAGCGCCUCUGCCAAAGGGCCAGGCUACACCUGAUUAUAAGUAUGCCUUUUAAAAACGAGCCAAUUCUGUUUUGAAGAAUAGCACCUUCAGGGAGUGAAGAACAGCCAGGUGGAGGGCAAUUUUUGGUAGGAAACUGGCACAAGACUCUGAUCUGGAGAUUGCCUGGUGAGUGACUGGAAAGGAUUGAAUUUCCAGUGGUCAGGGAAUGUGGCUUCAGUGCCUUGUAUUGUUUCUUCAUUUCCCCGUGUCUACUAGAGGUAGAGAGAGGUUGAAAAAACAACCAAACAAAAUUCAUUAAUUCUAACAUUUAUUCAAUCCAUAGAUUUUAAUAUAUAUUUAUUUUUAGCAAAAAAAA